AGAUGAGCCCGUCGCCCUGGCAACGGCUGGAGAGGCGGGGUCACGCAUGCGCAGAGCUGGGGGCUCGCGUCACUACGGAGCGCCGGGAAGUGGACUCACCGCUCGUGUGAAGGGGGCGCUGCGGUAGGUGGUCGCCGCCCUGGAGCGCUUUGGCCGCGUUCUUCGCCAAGAACUCUCGUUCCUUGCGGGACUGGGCGAGGGCCGAAUUCCAGACCCCACCCCAGCGGCGACCUGGUGGGAUGAGGGCCCAAGAGACUCUAUUGUUGCGCGGGCCAGGACAGGAGAAGAAACGUCCAAGAUCGAAGAGGCCCUACAGAGACGUGUUAAACCUCUGAAAACUUGAAAGAUUUUGGUGUAUCAGUGGAAACAAGUAUAAAACCAGGUGAGGAUGCAGCCCACAGCCUCUUAGGUCAGCACCUGAACCCACCUUAGGGAGUCAAUGUUACUCCACUCAACAUACAGCAGUGGGCACCCUGGGAUUUCUUUGGCGGAGGUGGCCCCAGGCUAGGAAGACCAGACAAUAGAAUGGCCCCUGCACUCAGGCUGUGAGAUGGGGUGAGCCACAGGUCGUGCCCCACCAGCUGAACACUGUGUAAGACCCUUAGGCCUUGGCCGAACUCUGAGGGCAGGGUAGGGGAGUUCUCGUGGAAUGACGGAAUUUCCCACCAGGGAUCUUGAAAAGCACUUCUUUGGACUUGCCCUGUCUUGCUUCUCUUGAGAAUCCUGCAGCCAUCACCUUAUGAAUGAGCCAGGGCUGGCCUGAUGGAGGAUGGACAACACAUGCCUAGUUAAUACCACUGACCCUCUUGACAGCCAGCCGUCUGCCAAACAAUGAGGCCAGUGGUUGCCAGCUAGCCACAAAAUCGAUGAA